rnacentral:rRNA from 1 species
CAGUCAUACCAACGGGAAAUCAACCUCUUGAGUUUGGUCUUGUGGUUUCGAAGAGUUUAAAAGCCUUCGGAUUUGCGAGGAUUGGGCUCUUCUGGUGUACUUUCUCGUACGGUUAGUCAACAUCGGUUUUGAAUGUCGUAAAAUGACUGGAGGAAUGUGGCUUCGAUCUCGUAUUGAAGUGUUAUAGCCUUUGGUAGAUGUGAUGUUCGAGACCCGAGGAUUGCAAUGGAUACCCUUCGGGGGCUACCUGUCUGAUCUCUGAUCGUUGCUCUGGUACCGAAAGCGUGCUUACGGUUAUCAAAGUCGAUGGUCAACAGGUUAGAACGGGUUAAAUUCGUUAAGGAUGUUGACGUAAUGG